GAUCUAAGAAAUGAAAUAACAAUCAUCUUCUCUCUCUAAAUUCUAUUUCUCUCUCUUCCUCUCUCUCUAAAUUCUGUUCUCUUCUUCUUCUUAACUCUAUCAAUUUCUAUUUUUCAAAUCUAUUUCUGCAAUAAUAUAGCUACAGAACUAGUAACUAUACCAGUUUUUUAUGUGGAUUGUUUCAGAUCUAGUUUUUUUUUGUUAAUUUCUCAAUUCUCCUUCAAAACCCCAUAUUUAUCCUCUCUUUUUUUCGAUUUUUAUUUUCGAAUCCUUUUUUUGUAUCACUUUCUCAAAUGGCAAGUUCAAUUGCAGCUUGCUUGAUUAGGAUGUUCUACAGAGAUAGUGUUUUCCUUAUAGCUUAGAAAAUCUCGAGUUUCAAAAGGCAGUGAUUUUUCUAGGAAUAAUCGAAUGGGAUGAAAUAUUGUGGAAUUAUAACUUUGGCGAUUUGGAGAAUUGGAAAGACUGAUACCUACCCCAACCCUUUACAAGAUAAUCCUGCAUAUUCAGUUGUAAAGAUUCACCGAGAGGUAUUCAUUUCAGGCGUGCAGGACCAAGGCAGAAGGUGUACUUUGAUUCUGGUGCAGUUAAUGCGUACGAGCUCUGUAAAGCUUAAGUCUAAAUUAUCUUAACAACUAGCCUGUAAACCAACACAAGUUCCUCCUACGCUACAUUGCUCAGAAAUCCACGCUCACCCACUACUACUUAUCCAUGCAUUCGAGCUCUUGAUCUUGAUCAAAACACAAUAGUAGCAAUUCCAGUAGGUUUUGUCAGCGUUGCUAUUGGGAUUGGCAUUCCUGUCUUUUAUGAAACCCAAAUUAUAGCAGCUUUUGAUUUUUAUUUUUAUUGCAGAUAGUAGCAAUUCCAGUAGGUUUUGUCAGCGUUGCUAUUGGGAUUGGCAUUCCUGUCUUUUAUGAAACCCAAACUGACAGUGCUGUUGAAGUGAUAAGUUGCAUUAGACACCCAAACAUGGUUCUACUAUUAGGAGCUCGCCCAGAGUAUGGAUGUCUAGUUUAUGAGUACAUGCAUAAUGGUAGUCUUGAGGAUCGCUUAUUCUGUCGAGGAGGCAGUCCACCACUCUCUUGGCAACAUAGGUUCCGCAUUGCUGCAGAAAUCACGACAGACCUCUUAUUCCUCCACCAUACAAAGCCAGAGCCUUUGGUGCAUCGAGACUUAAAACCGGGUAACAUCCUUCUAGAUCGCAACUUAGUUGCCAAGAUUAGUGAUGUGGGCUUAGCUAGAUUAGUUCCCCCAUCAGUCGCUGAUGAGGUUACGCAAUAUAGGAUGACCUCUACAGCUGGUACUUUCUGCUACAUAGACCCUGAAUAUCAACAUAGACCCUAAAUUUAAGAUUGAAGUGCUGAACAUCUAAAAUUUUAAUUUAGGCUUGGUUUGGUUGGACGUUUUCCUUUCGUUUGGUUCCUCAGGUCUUUUUAUGAUUUGAUAAUUGAUACGACUUGUUAUAGUGAUAGAUUGGGGAAUAUGAAAUGGGGUAUGAUUUGAUAAUUUUAGUUAUUCAUUUAAUUCCUGUUAAUAAUUGUUUUUUUCUGGUUAAUUUCAUUAAUUUCUUUGUUUUUGUUGAUUUGCAGGGUUAUGAGAUUUGCGUUUGAGUUCCAGGUUUGAAGUUGGUUUCUAUCCAGAUACCAGAUCUAAAGUCCAUUUUGUUCCAGAUUUUUGUUGUGGAGUUUAAAGUGUACAUGUAAUUAUAUGAGAUUUGUAUUAGAUUUUGUUCUAAGUAUAUUAGAAUUUAGUUCUAGAAUUAGUUUUUCACUUGUAUCUACAUUUAUUAUCAAUAAUAAGUGAAUUGAUUAA